ensembl:snRNA U1 U1 spliceosomal RNA
AUACUUACCUGGCAGCGGAGACACCAUGAUCACGAAGGUGGUUCUCCCAGGGUGAGGCUUAUCCAUUGUACUCCGAUGUGCUGACCCCUGUGAUUUCGCCAAAUGUGGGAAACUCGACUGCAUAAUUUGUGGUAGUGGGGACUGCGUUCGCGCUUUCCCCUG